AGCACCCACUAAGUCAUAACAUGAAAUUUCAGAACACCUGAGAUAAAGAUCCUAAAGCUGCCAGAGAGGAAAAUUACAGGUCACAAAUAAAAGCUCUGCAGUCAGGAUAGCACAGGAUUUCAACAGCAGAGAUGAAAUCUAGAACAACAAUGAAUUAAUGCAUUUAAAACUGCUUACCUACAAUUCCACGAUCAAACUAUCAAAGGAGUGAAAGAGUAAAAUAAACCCAUUUCACUCAGGCAAAGGUCUUGAAAAGUUUAUAUCCCAAUGACCUUCCCUGGGAUGCUGAAAGAUAUACUCCACCCAACAGGAAAGUAAACCAAAAAGCAGCAGCUAUGGGAUCCAGGAGACAGGAGAGGAAGAAAUGACCAGGGUGAAGGUAAAGAGAAAUCCCAGGGCAGAAGCUAUGCCUGAGGUCUAGAGAAUAACCAACGUGCAGUGGCUCACGCCUGUAAUCCCAGCACUUUGGGAGGCCAAGGCGGGCAGAUCACUUGAGGUCAGGAUUUCGAGAUCAGCCUGGCCAACAUGGUGAAACCCACUCUCUACCAAAAAUUUAAAAAUUAGCUGGGUGUGGUGGUGCAUGCCUGUAAUCCUAGCUACUCAGGAGGCUGAGGUGGGAGGAUCGCUUGAACUCAGGAGGCGGAGGCUGCAGUGAGCCAAGAUCACACCACUGCACUCAAGCCUGGGCAACAGAGUGAGACCUUGUCUUCAAAAAAAAAAAAAAAAAAAAAAAAAAAGAAUAACCAAAGUGCCUGUUCUGGGCUGAGUUGUGUCACUCCAAAAGUCAUGUUAAAGUUCUAACCACAGUAUCUCAGUAUGUGACUGUAUUUGGAAAUGGGCCUUUAAACAGGUAAAUAAGUAAAAGUGAAGUCACUAGAGUGGGCCCCAAUCCAAUAUGACCAGCGUCCUUUUUCUUUUUCUUUUCUUUUAAAUUGAGGUCCCAUUCCAAUUAGCAUCUUUUUAAGGUAAGGAAAUUUAGACACAGAGAGACACAAAGGGAAGACCAUGUGAAGACACAGGAAGACGGCCAUUUACAAGACAAGAAGAGAGGCCUCUGAAGAAACCAACCCUGCUGACACCUUGCUCUUUCCAUCUCCAGAAUUGUGAGAAAAUUAAUUUCUCUUAUUUAAGCCACCCAGUCUGUGGUACUUUGCUAUGGCAGCCCUAGUAAACGAAUAUAGCACUGAACCCAGAACAAGGGAACCAGGAAAGAUUAAGAAAAAAAAAAAGAAUUUGAUGUAUAUACAAGAUUACAUAAUGCUAUCAGAGAUUUGGGGGAUGAAUUCAUCAUCAAUCCAUAGGAAAAGAGGCAAACAAAUGAAGUAAAAGUGAGGGGGGAAAAGUGGUCUGAGAAACACAAUCAUGGUACACUAUGGCUCAUGAUGAAUAUUUAGCUAGUAAAUAACAUGAACUUAGAUCGCUGACUUAACCAAAGGUUGAGAAACAACUGUGGUGUGGUGUGGGUGGAUAUUAUGAAAGAGCUAAAUUCUUAUCUACCAUAGGAGGAAAUCAACAGGUAAUAACACUAAUGGAAAAAUCAAGAAGUGGCGAUAUAAGCACAUUAUUUAAAUAUGGAGGCAAAUGCCAAUAAAUAAUGCAAAAAUACUUAAAGUGGCUGCCUUUGGGAAAUGAUAUCCAGGAGUAAGGUGGAAGACCGCCCCUUUUCAUGAUAAUCUCAGUGGAGCUAUUUGAAUUGUAAACAACUCAUAGGUGUUUAUGAAUAAUGAAAGAAUUUUAAAACCUAAGCAGACCACUAAAGACCUUUUUAUUAAAUUGUAUAUAUAUAUAUAUAUAUAUAUAUAUAUAUAUAUAUAUAUAUAUAUAUAUAAUUUUGAGACAGAGUCUCACUCCGUGGCCCAGGCUGGAGUGUGGUGGGGUGAUCUUGGCUCACUGCAACAUCCGCCUCCCAGGUUCAAGCAAUUCUCCUGCCUCAGCCUCCCAAGUAGCUGGGAUUAUAGGUGAGCGCCAUCACACCCAGCUAAUUUUUGUAUUUUUAGUACAGAUGGGGUUUUGCCAUGUUGGGCAGGCUGGUCUCGAACUCCUGAGCUCAGGUGAUCUUGGCCUCCCAAAGUGUUGGGAUUACAGGCGUAAGCCACUGCAUCCGGCCUAAAGACAUUUUUAAACAAAAGACUUGCUAGUCCUCUUAGCCAGACACAGAACAAGUGUGUUAAAUAAAUAAGACAUGAAACAUCUAAUGGUGACAAGAUUUUUUAACAGGCCAUGUUAACUGAAAUGAGGAGGACACAGAGGGGACAAUAGGGUCAGGAAACUUUUUUGAAGGUGUAGUGUUUAUAUGAUGGCACUUCUGCUGACAGCGUCCUCCUCAGAAGUUGCCUGCCCAGGGGCUCUUUAAAACAGACUAGGUGGAUUUCCAUGUCUGCCCCUGCUUGUUCUUUUUGCCUCGCCAGUUGUCUUGCUCCGAUUUCUUCCCAAGUGGGCUUUCAUGAUGUAUUCAUGAUGAGCCUUCAUGACGUACUCUACAAGACUAGCCUUUUAGCAAGAACUUUUAUAUCUCUGUUAAAUGUGACAAGCAGAGAAAAACUGUAUAGCCAUCACUUAGAUGAAAUAUAGCAAUGUGACCAAGCCUAUGUUACAAAAAUCAUGUAGGUUUUACUUAUUUUCCUUUCUCUUUGUCCUUAACUUCCUCCAGGCAGGACUGCUUGCAUGUAGUCAUUUUGGUAGAGGGUAGUCACUAAUAAGUGAUUAACUUCAUAUCCUAACCCCCAGGGGCGGCUUGCAAGAUUGAUGAACUUGUUUUUCUUGUAAAGAACAAUGAUCCCUGGGUCAUGCUGACCUCCUUGAUGGCACCCAGAAGUUUGAUUGGCCAAGGGAUGCAAGCAGCUUUGAUAAUCAGGGGAUCUCACUUCCCAUAUACCUACCUUACUCAUAAAAGCCACUGGUUACGUGCAAAGGGAGGCUGAAUUUGAGAAUUUGCCUCUCCCACCCUCAUGCUUUGGUCAAAUUGAAUAAACCUUUCUCUGCUCUGAAGCACCGAUGUGUCAGUGUUUGGCUUACUGCGCAUCAGGUACUUGAACCUAACUUUUGGGGUUCUGCAACAGAUUUUGGCAACCAUGCCAGGUCUAGCAUGGCAAUAGGCCCUGGCCAGGUUAGGCGAACGAGUGUCCCAGCAGCUGCCCAAGUGUGUUGGUCAGGGGGCCCUAAAGUCGCUCUUCUAGGUCAGUGUAGGCUGCUGUUGGUACUCUAGAAGCUUAGAGCAGAGAAACAUCUCAGACUGCUAUCUGGACUUCUGGUUUUGGUUUGAAGGGUAAGUCACUGCGGUGCACACAGCCAUAUCUCACUCUCUCUGCUUGCAUUGUGAAGAGGGCCCUUUUGGGGGAGUAAUAGAAUGGUGGACUAUGCCCAUUUUCUUGUUUGCUUUCCUGUAGGGAGUUUGGUUUUCUGUUUGUGAUUUUGUUUUGUUGUUGUUGUUGUUUGGUUUGGGGGGUGUGUGUGUGUGUAUCUGUGUGUGUGUGUGUGUGUGGUGUGUGUGUUAUGUGAAAAGACUGAACAGGGCAAAUUUGGAAUUGAUCCCAGAGAGUAGCAUCAUUGGCUGCAUUCUCCAGAAUUGGGCCACUUUCAGCUAUGAGCCCAUGAAGAAAAAUAAAAUUUUUUUAACUGUAACGCUGCUUGGCCUCAAUAUGCCUUAGAAUUUGGGAAAAAAUGGCUGACAAACAGUUCUUUAAGUUAUGCUACUAUAAUACAACUGCAACUAUUCUGUAAGAGCAGAGAAAAUAGGAUGCAAUCCUGUAUGUCCAGGCUUUUAUACUCUUUUAUCAGAAUGAACCUACUCAAAAGAGGUAUAAUUUGAUGCUGCAAAAGGAAAAACAGCCCAAACCUAAGGUUUUAGACUCCCACCAUUAGGUGGGGAAGACAGGGCACUGCUUGGUGCUUUGAAUCCCCUGAAUAAUCAUCCUGAUCCUCUGCCCCCCAGUCAGCUAUGGCUCCAGCACCUCCACCUCCUUAUGGGAUUGUCUGGAGCAGGAGGGGAACACUCCCAAACCUGUCCUCCCCAUGGAAUUAGGACAGGUUGUGGUCUCGCCUUCCUGCAACUGACAGGAAACCCAAUUUGGCCUGGGACCCACUGGUCCCUUAGUAGGGCAGUUUCCUCUGUGUCAAUUCCCCACUGUGGGACUUGAAUGGACAACAGUUUGGCAUGAUGUGGUUACAUUUCCUUUUCCCACUUUGGAGCUGUUCAGUGGGAAAACAAUAUCUUUGGAAAAACAAUAAUCCCCCCUAUCCCAACCCAAGCAAAUGGCUGGGCUAUUCUUGUCUAUAUUUCUGACCUACCACCCGACAAGGGCAGAUACUCACUUUGUUAAAGUGCUGCUCACAGCAGAAGAAAGGCAUGUAGUCACAGAAAAGGCUAGGGAAGAAGCAAAUCGGCUCCAUCUGGAGGCAGGAAACAAUCACCCCUGGCCAAUAGACUCAGUCCCUAACACAGAGACCAGGUGCGAUGUAAAUGGUGGGGCCUUUCCCACUUAGGACACUAUGAGAACCACAUCCUUGAAGGUUUGAGGAAAGGGGUUACUCAGGUUAAGAGCCUCAAUAAGGUACAGGAAGUACAGCGGCAAGCAUAUGAGGACCCUUUGUAAUUCCCAGAAAGACUCCAUCAGACAUGUGGAAAGUAGGUUGACGCUAACUAACCCUGAGGCACCGGACAAUCAGAGAAUGGUCAAUGUGACCUUUAUCAGCCACAGUGCCCUGAUAUUCAAAGAAAACUGCAAAAGGUAAAUGGGAUCCUUGGGUUGCCAAUCUCACAUUUAGUGGACUUAGCUUUUAAAGUGUACUAUGCUCAGGAUGAGGCUCAGGAAAGUGCAAAUUGAAGCAACAAGUAACUCACUGGCAGCUGUGCUUGACUACCAACCUAGGGGAAAAGGAAGAAAUCAAAGAGCGGCUCACGCCCCCUUCAGAAAAAAAACCAAUAUGCCUAUUGUAAGAAGGAGGGACACUGGAAAAAGGGCUGUCCCAAAUUGACCAAAGCAGCUAGCAAGUGCAGUGUCCCUCAAAAUCAGAUGAGGAGAGAGAAUAAUAUUUAGAUGAAGACUGAUGUGUCCCAGGGACUCCCUUAGACUUGGAGCAACCAGUGGCUAUAUCCCCACAGGAUUCCUAGAUACAACUGACAGUGGGGAACAGAAUGAUUGACUUUUUACUUGACACAGUGCCACAUAUUAAUUAAUUAACAAUUGUCUCUCUCCAGCUUUGGGAAAAACCAUUACUGUUACACGGAUAUUGGGAGACACCAUUAUCCCUUUCUACAAUCUUCAGGUUACCAUUUACGAGAGACCGGCCUAGGGCAUAGUUUCUUGUACAUGCUUAAUGCCCAGUGCCCCUCCUGGGCUGGGAUUUGCUUGCCAAAUUGUAUGCUCAACUUGUCUUUCCCCCCAGAUGCCUAGAUAUAAUGAUUCCUUCUGAACAAGUUUGCAGGUUUCAAAUACUCCUGCUGCAACCAGAAAACGAAGAGGUUCAGGACAUUCCAGAAGAAAUUCUCACACAGGAACAGGAAUACUCCUUGGCUGUGGAUUAUACUGCUGUGGCACUAUAUAUGUGGGAUUGCAAGAUCGCCCUUCUCAAGCUCCUGACACCCUGUUCAACAAUGUUACAACAAAAUUGCCUAAGUCCCGGGACAUGUGAAUAUUUUCAACUGCAGGUAAGUAAGUUCCAUUCCUCAGCCCCCUAGGAAUGCCCCUUGCCAGCGGGAAGUAGUUAGACUGAGUCAACACCCCAACUGAAGAUUGAGGAAAGGAACAGUGUCAGUGGGGAUACUGUAACCCAGCCUAUAUUAGAAAAAUCAUCAGGUGUUUAUUUUACUUAUUUUUCUUUCUCUGUCCUUAGCUUCCUCCAGGCAGGAUCGCUCGCACGUAGUCAUUUUGGUAGAGAGCAGUCACUAACAAGUGAUUAACUUUAUAUCCUAACCCCCAGGGGCUGCUUGCAAGAUUAACGUACUUGUUUUUCUUUUAAAGAACAAUGAUCCUUAGGUCAUACUGACCUCCCUGAUGGCAUCCAGAAAUUUGACUGGCCAAGGGACACGAGCAGCUUUGAUCAUCAGGGAAAGCCCCCAAUUACAUGCAAAGGAAGGUCAUAUUUGAGAAUCUGCUUCUCCCACCCUCAUACUUUGGCCAAAUUGAAUAAACCUUUCUAAGCAUUAAUGUGUCAGUGUUUGGCUUACUGUGCACCGGGUACAUGAACCUAACUUUUGGGGUUCUACAACAGCAACCUGACUGAGCUAAUCACGUACAGCCAAGAACAGCUGAGCUACAGUAGCUCCUUAAAAUCAGGGUCCAGAUGUUGUUCAUAGAUGAGAGAAGAGAAAAUAACUAUCACAUGCAGCAUCAGACAUUCAAUGACACAAAUCCUCAAAAUCAGAUGCUUUAAAAAAUGAAGCCAAUGGCUGGGCAUGGUGGCUCAUGCCUGUAAUCCCAGCACUUUGGGAGGCCAAGGCAGGAGGAUCGCUUGAGCUCAGGAGUUCAAGACCAACCUGGGCAACAAAGUGAGACCUUAUCUCUAUCAAAAAUUUAAAAAUAAAUUAAUUAAAAUAAUUUAAAAAUGAAGCCAGGUUGCUCAAGUAUUCAUCAAGUAUUUACUGAGGCUUACUAUGUGUUAUGAUGAUGAGACACUUCUUUGAGCCAUCAAAGGUUUCUGGCUUCCUCUGCAACUAAAAAUAAUUACCCUCCCCAAUGAAGGGUCUGUGUGUUCCACAGGUAUAGCAGCAGAAGAGACAACUUGGAAAAAGUGAAGGUAGGCCAGGCACAGUGGCUCAUGGCUAUAAUCCUAACACUUUGGGAGGCUGAGGUGAGUGGAUUCGCUUGAGCUAAGGAGUUUGAGACCAGCCUGGGCAACAUGGCAAAACCUGGUCUCUAUUAAAAAAAAUACAAAAAAUUGGCCAGGCAUUGUAGUCCACACCUGUAGUCUCAGCUACUAGGGAGGCUGAGGUGGGAGGAUCACUUCAGCCAGGAGGCAGAGGCUGCAGUGAGCCUAGAUGGCACCACUGCACUCCAGCCUGGGUGACAGAGCAAGACCCUGUCUCAAAAAAAAAAAAAAAAAAAAAGGUAAGCCACAACUCCACUUAAGAGGAGAGGCAACUGGAGAAAGAUCCCAGGAGGUUAUAUUCAACAACGGAGCAAUAACACAGUAGUCUUGCUAGACAUCCACAGCCUUUAAAUGGACAUAUUCUACUCUGUUUAUCACCUUUAUAAAAGUUUUCAAGUUUUCUGGAUAGUUCUACUCAGUUGAUGGCAAUUACCCUGCCAGGUAACUUACUCACUAUAAUUGAAUAAACCAGCAAUCUGGUUUAUCAGUCAGUCUCUCUUGCUCAAUUGACAAUCCCUAAAAGUUCAUCCAUUCCUGUGUGAGACCGUAUAUCUGACAAUUCAGUCAAAGGAAGUUGGUCAAAUCCCACAACUGACUGCCAAAGAAAGUAAUAUCUAAUCACAAAAAUACCACAAUUAAUUACAGGUAGUAACUAGGUUCUAAAGAAAUUAUCUCCUAAGUAGAUUUUAAUAUAAAUUUUGAACAGUU
rnacentral:lncRNA from 1 species